UGAGGAAUAUUGGUCAAUGGGGCGAGAGCCUGAACCAGCCAAGUCGCGUGAAGGAUGAAGGUUCUAUGGAUUGUAAACUUCUUUUGUCCGAGGGUAAAAAAGGCUACGUGUAGCUUCUUGCAAGUAUCGGACGAAUAAGCAUCGGCUAACUCCGUGCCAGCAGCCGCGGUAAUACGGAGGAUGCGAGCGUUAUCCGGAUUUAUUGGGUUUAAAGGGUGCGUAGGUGGUUUGUUAAGUUUGUGGUGAAAGCGUGCGGCUCAACCGUACCAAGCCAUGAAAACUGGCGAACUUGAGUGCAAACGAGGUAGGCGGAAUGUGAUGUGUAGCGGUGAAAUGCUUAGAUAUGUCACAGAACCCCGAUUGCGAAGGCAGCUUACCAGCAUGCAACUGACACUG
rnacentral:rRNA from 1 species